UUGCUCACUUUGGUAGCACAUAUACUAAAAUUGAAAUGAUACAGAGAAGAUUAGCAUGGCCUCUGUGCAAGGAUGACAUGCAAAUUUGUGAAGCAUUUCAUAUUUUU
ensembl:snRNA U6 U6 spliceosomal RNA